rnacentral:rRNA from 1 species
GAUGAACGCUGGCGGCGUGCCUAAUACAUGCAAGUCGAGCGAACAGACGAGGAGCUUGCUCCUCUGACGUUAGCGGCGGACGGGUGAGUAACACGUGGAUAACCUACCUAUAAGACUGGGAUAACUUCGGGAAACCGGAGCUAAUACCGGAUAAUAUAUUGAACCGCAUGGUUCAAUAGUGAAAGACGGUUUUGCUGUCACUUAUAGAUGGAUCCGCGCCGCAUUAGCUAGUUGGUAAGGUAACGGCUUACCAAGGCAACGAUGCGUAGCCGACCUGAGAGGGGGAUCGGCGACACUGGAACUGAGACACGGUCCAGACUCCUACGGGAGGCAGCAGUAGGGAAUCUUCCGCAAUGGGCGAAAGCUUGACGGAGCAACGCCGCGUGAGUGAUGAAGGUCUUCGGAUCGUAAAACUCUGUUAUUAGGGAAGAACAAAUGUGUAAGUAACUAUGCACGUCUUGACGGUACCUAAUCAGAAAGCCACGGCUAACUACGUG